UUAAAAGCAUAAACGCCGGUUAAUUACGGAUCGUUACAAAAUUAAAUAGAGAGCGUUCAAAAGAAAUGGUUCAAGAUUUUUGGGUUGUGAAACACUUACUCAUAAAUUCUUUCGAUUUGAAAGGCAAUUCAAAUUAGUUACAGCAAAAUCAUAGUUCCGGUAUCAUUAAUAACUAACUUGCUUCUAUUUGUAAAAGGUGUUUGUUUCGUUAAAGGUGUGAAAGUCAGUGAACAAUAAAGCAGGAAGAUGUGUCUACAAUGAUAAAGUUGUACUAAUACUAGACAUUACAAAUAGGAGGAAGUUAGUCCAUUGUAAUAUUGAAACUGACAGUCAUUAUUGCUUUCACAGGACUGAGUUUUAGAUUUAUUUCUAUAUAGAUGGAUAAAUCAAUUGUUCUACAAAUCUUGAACCCUUUUUCUAGAUAUUCCACGAUUAUUUUAACUGUCAAUGAGUACAAUCAUAAUCAUAAAUAAUCAUAAAUGUAUAGAGACGAAAAUAAUGAUAAUAUUAAAAAUUAAAGAUAGUGAUUGGUGUAAACGAUAAACGUAAAGAUAUUUCCAAUUAAUUUCGAGUAGAUAUAAUUUAAAAAAAUGGAGUGCGUUUUAAAAGAUUAAUAAUAAAUAGAGAGCACAAACGUUUCUCACAUCCAGGAUUAUAAUCGUGGGGACAGGGUCCUUUAAAAAAAACGAUUUCCUGACCGGACAACCCCUAAAAACGGUGAUCUUUCUGAACCUGUAGACCGCGGACAGAAAAAGGGAUGCGAAACAGAAUUAUCCCGCUGAAUUUGUUCUAUAUUCUGAUGUAACUGAUCCACUCGAUAGAGAUUACAAUAUUAUCUGCGAUGGAUGCGAGGAUCGUCAACGUGGAAAUCAAUCGGACUGUAUAUGGGACAGAAGUAGAAAUGAAAGUAUCAUAGAGUAUUCGUCGGAGAAUAAAGUCAAUGUUGCUACAGAUAUAUCUGAUACGUCCAUGAAAGAAGUUUCCCGAUCGGUUGCUACUUAGAACCAUGAAAGUUGAAUAAAAACAGGAAUCAAGUGAUCAAGAUUUAUUAAAAAAAAAUAUCAAAUAAGCAAUAUCGACAAGCAAUAAAAAUCGAGUAAUAAAAAUAAAAAUUCGAGGAAUUAAAAUUUAAUAUAUAUCAAGAAAACUUUCGAUGUUUAUACUUUUUCUUGGUACUUCACUGUUUACAUAUUACACAUAAUACCAUAAAUUUAUAGGCAAACAGAUAAUUAUUUCGAUAGCUAAAGAAAGAAAUUGUACAAUUACGAGUGAAUGAGUGAAUUGCAUAAGAGCGAGGUUUAAUACUGCUUCUUAAUGAAGACGAAUAAGACUCUCGAGUUAGACAAGCGUAAUCAAAAUACGGAAUUAAUGAAGUCCGUUAAUUCAUUGGAUAAAACAGAAUUCCAGAAUUUGUUACUUCUUUAUAGUUAUUAAAAGCAACCAUUUACUAUGACGUUAUACAUUUGAUAUAGAAGUAAUUUUAGACGCUCUGUUAAUGUAUAUUUUUAUAACAUGAACAUAUAAAAUUUAUAAAAAAUUUUAUCGCAAGAAUAAACUAUCUAUCGUUAUAAUAAUAGAG